rnacentral:rRNA from 1 species
UACGGGGGGGGCAAGCGUUGUUCGGAAUUACUGGGCGUAAAGGGCUCGUAGGUGGCCAACUAAGUCAGACGUGAAAUCCCCAGGCUUAACCCGGGAACUGCGUCCGAAACUGGCAGGCUCGAAUCCGGGAGAGGGAUGCGGAAUUCCAGGUGUAGCGGUGAAAUGCGUAGAUAUCUGGAGGAACAUCGGUGGCGAAGGCGGGUCUCUGGGCCGUAACUGACGCUGAGGAGCGAAAGCAUGGGGAGCGAACAGG